GAAGGUCACGGCAAGACGAGCCGUUUAUCAUUACGAUAGGUGUCAAGUGGAAGUGCAGUGAUGUAUGCAGCUGAGGCAUCCUAACAGACCGGUAGACUUGAACCUUGUUCCUACAUGACCCGAUCCAUUCGAUCAGGCAUUCGCCAUCUAUUUUCAUUGUUCAACUAUUUGACAACAUGAAAAAACCAAAAGCUCUGCCCUCCCUCUCUAUCGAUCCAAGGGAUGGAAGGGCAG
rnacentral:rRNA from 2 species